rnacentral:tRNA from 2 species
GAUUAAGUGGCCGAGGUUAGGCGGUAAAUUGUAAAUUUACAUACGAAUUAAAAUUCCUUUUUCA